GGAUGACAGCUUAUUCAGGGUCUAACCUAUGCAGAUAUGUGCCUUGAUUUUAGAAAAAUAAGUUAAUGCAUAUAGUAAGCCCACAACUGGAUAACCACAUCCUAUGAUGAACGGCAGGAAGCCAUGUCAGGGGUGGGAGGCAGGUCUAAUA